rnacentral:rRNA from 1 species
UACGGAGGGUGCAAGCGUUAUCCGGAUUCACUGGGUUUAAAGGGUGCGUAGGCGGAUAGGCAAGUCCGUGGUGAAAUCCUGCAGCUUAACUGCAGAACUGCCAUGGAUACUAUUUAUCUUGAAUGUCGUGGAGGUUAGCAGAAUAUGUCAUGUAGCGGUGAAAUGCUUAGAUAUGACAUAGAAUACCCAUUGCGAAGGCAGCUAACUACGCGAUAAUUGACGCUGAUGCACGAAAGCGUGGGGAUCAAACAGG